UACGAGUGCCCCAAGCGUUAUCCGGAAUCAUUGGGCGUAAAGGGUGUGUAGGUGGUGUUGUUAGUCUUCUGUUAAAUUCUUCGGCUUAACCGGGGUCCUGCAGAGGAAACGGCAAUACUAGAGGAUGUUAGGGGUGUACGGAACUCAUGGAGUAGGGGUGAAAUCCGUUGAUAUCAUGGGGAACACCAAAAGCGAAAGCAGUACACUGGAGCAUUCCUGACACUGAAACACGAAAGCGUGGGUAGCGAACGGG
rnacentral:rRNA from 1 species